rnacentral:lncRNA from 1 species
ACUUUUAAAAUUAUGUUUAUUUAUUUUGAGAGAGGGAGAGAGAGAGAGAGAGAGAGAAGGAGAGACAGAGUGUGAGUGGGGGAGGGGCAGAGAGAGAGGAGACAGAAUCUGAAGCAGCUCCAGGCUCUAAGCUGUCAGCACAGAGCCCAAUGCGGGGCUCAAACUCAUGAACCAUGAGAUCAUGACCUGAGCUGAAGUCAGACGCUUAACUGACUGAGCCACCCAGGCACCCCUAGAUUGAUGUUUUUAAUACUAGUCUCCCAGCAGUAGUGAUAUGGUUGGCAGCACGUCCCAGUGGCCCACCGUUAAGUAGAUCUAGUGUUGCAGUGUCUCAAAGAUAAACUUUCUAAUAAAAGUAUCUGCUCAAAUAACUUGGUGAGCAGGAACCUUCGACGAAUCAGAAACCCUUUUUUUUUUUUACUACCCCCCACACUCCUUUGAUAGAAAUCAGAAGAUGUUCUCCUUAUGAAGGCAGUUUUAAGACUUUCAUGUGCUCAGAAUUACCUGGGGAGUUUGCUAUAAAUGAAAUCUUAGAUUCUUAAUUCUGAAUUUUUAUUUGAUAAGGUAUGUCUGGAAUUCUGCAUUUGUAAUGCACAUGCUGGAUUUAAUGGCUCCCAGACAUUUCUUUGAGAAGCAUUGUGUUAAAAGUAACUAUAACUUUCGGAAUAGGUGUCAGUGACCAUUAUAUAAGUAUAUCAUAUAAUGUAUAACAUUAUGAAUGUAACAAUGCAUGGAAUCAUCGCCCUGAGAUGUCAUGAAGCUUGUCAAGCAACAUUAAAUCAAUUUUUUGUUUGUCCAAUGUUAUAAAGGCCAGAAAGUAGAUACUUUUUCUCAAGGAUGAAUUAAUAAGAAAGCCCCGUUUUCUAAGAAUUCAAGAUAACAAAGAUUUUAAUGUAGAUUAGAAAUGUUAGACAAUAUAUUCUUAGUAAUUUUGAAAAUUAAAACCUAACUAAAUGUGGUAUCUGUUUCCCCACUCCUUUUUCUUACGACAAGUACUGUCACAGAUGGCCUAGUAAUAGGAAGAAAUUCCCUGUCAAACAUAGGAAAUGGUGAUUUGAUACCGGUGAAAGCGGCAUACCCUCACCCUGGCUUUACCCAGUUCCCUCCUACUGAUGAUCUGUCUUUGCUGCAUCUGGAAAAACCUGUUGAACUAGAAGACGAAUUUUCUAAAACAGUGCAGCAGGCAGCUGUACCACUGAUCAGUAGUGCAUCUUGUCAAAAUUACUGGGGACUGGAUAUCAAAAGCACCAACAUAUGUGGAGGGGCUGCAGGAUCGUCCUCAUGCAUGGUAAUCCAAGGACAGCAUUGAUGAGUGCAACUUUCUUCUCAGUGUCUCUCAUGAAUGGGUGUUUGCUGACCACAAAGAGGUAUAUGUGCAUGGUAGUUUUAGAAUAAAAAGUGAGAAGAGGAAGUACCUUGCUAAGCUGAUGACUGUCAUUACUAAUUUGAAACUUGAAAUGAAUGCAAUUCUCAAAAGGAAUUGCUCAUUCAUUUGCUUGGUUGACUGUGUGAAUUUGAUGAUCCUCUAUUGUUUUUGACCUAUAAAGAUAAUUUAUUACGGCUCAGCUUCACAGCUGAAUUAGGCAGCUCAAAGCAUCUACUCCUAGUAGCACUGAAAAUAUAAAGAUAUUUUAAUGUAACUCAGAACAAUAAUUUAGUGAUUUAUAUUAUAAGUAGAUGCUUGAAACUUUCUGCAAGGCACUGUCUAUUGUCAGC